rnacentral:rRNA from 1 species
UCGGGAAUUUUGUGCAAUGGGCGAAAGCCUGACACAGCAACGCCGCGUGAAGGAUGAAGUCCCUCGGGAUGUAAACUUCGUAAGAAUAGGAAGAAUAAAUGACGGUACUAUUUGUAAGGUCCGGCUAACUACGUGCCAGCAGCCGCGGUAAUACGUAGGGACCAAGCGUUGUUCGGAUUUACUGGGCGUAAAGGGUGCGUAGGCGGCAUAUCAAGUCACUUGUGAAAUCUCCGGGCUUAACUCGGAACUGCCAAGUGAUACUGAUGUGCUAGAGUGCAGAAAGGGCAACUGGAAUUCUUGGUGUAGCGGUGAAAUGCGUAGAUAUCAAGAGGAACACCUGAGGCGAAGGCGAGUUGCUAGGCUGACACUGACGCUGAGGUACGAAAGCUAGGGGAGCGAACGGGAUUAGAUACCCCCGUAGUCCCUGAGCGG